CAUGCACAACAGCCCUGACUUCGCGGAAGGGGUACACUUAUUAGGUACAAACCCAAUGCGGGCAACCGCUUAUUGGUGAAUCUAGAUAAUUGAAUGAUCGUAUGGCCUCGCGCUGACGACCAACCAAUCAAGUUUCUGCCCUAUCAACUUUGGAUGGUAGUGUAUUGGACUACCAUGGUUAUAACGGGUAACGGGGAAUUAGGGUUCGAUUCCGGAGAGGGAGCCUUAAAAACGGCUACCACUUCCAAGGAAGGCAGCAGGCGCGCAAAUUACCCAAUCCUGAUACAGGGAGGUAGUGACAAGAAAUAACGAUGCUGGUCCUUCAAUGGACUAGCAAUCGGAAUGAGUACAAUGCAAAUAUCUUAACGAGGAACAAUUGGAGGACAAGUCUGGUGCCAGCACCCGCGGUAAUUCCAGCUCCAAUAGCGUAUAUUAAAGUUGUUGCGGUUAAAAAGCUCGUAGUUGGAUUGAAGGGCAGUUCUGUCUGUAGUCUUGCCCCCAAAGGGUAGACUUGCAGGUAGUCUGUUCAAUAUAUGCUCGGAUCUUGCUCUUCUGGCCUUAACUGGUUGGGAGGGUGGUUCUGAGCCGUUUACUUUGAAAAAAUUAGGGUGUUCAAAGCAGGCUAUUUUAUGCCUUGAAUAGAUUAGCAUGGGAUAAUGAAACACGACCUAGCCGUCGUUUCGUUGGGCUUGGGCGGCUAGGUAAUGAUCAAUAGGAACGGUCGGGGCUAUUCAUAUUUAAUUGUCAGAGGUGAAAUUCUUAGAUUUUUUAAAGAUGAACCAAUGCGAAAGCAUCUAGCAAGGGCGCUUUCAUUGAUCAAGAACGAAAGUUAGGGGAUCGAAGACGAUCAGAUACCGUCGUAGUCUUAACUAUAAACGAUGCGGACCAAGGAUCGGGCAGGUAAUUUUGUACUACCUGCCCAGCACUUUGCGAGUAAUCAGAGUCUUUGCGCUCUGGGGGGAGUAUGGUCGCAAGGCUGAAACUUAAAGGAAUUGACGGAAGGGCACCACCAGGAGUGGAGCCUGCGGCUUAAUUUGACUCAACACGGG
rnacentral:rRNA from 1 species